UACGUAGGGUGCGAGCGUUGUCCGGAAUUAUUGGGCGUAAAGAGCUUGUAGGCGGUCUGUCGCGUCUGCUGUGAAAACUCGGGGCUUAACUCCGGGCCUGCAGUGGGUACGGGCAGACUAGAGUGCGGUAGGGGAGACUGGAAUUCCUGGUGUAGCGGUGAAAUGCGCAGAUAUCAGGAGGAACACCGGUGGCGAAGGCGGGUCUCUGGGCCGUAACUGACGCUGAGGAGCGAAAGCGUGGGGAGCGAACAGG
rnacentral:rRNA from 1 species